rnacentral:rRNA from 1 species
GACGAACGCUGGCGGCGUGCUUAACACAUGCAAGUCGAACGGAAAGGCCCUGCUUUUGUGGGGUGCUCGAGUGGCGAACGGGUGAGUAACACGUGAGUAACCUGCCCUUGACUUUGGGAUAACUUCAGGAAACUGGGGCUAAUACCGGAUAGGAGCUCCUGCUGCAUGGUGGGGGUUGGAAAGUUUCGGCGGUUGGGGAUGGACUCGCGGCUUAUCAGCUUGUUGGUGGGGUAGUGGCUCACCAAGGCUUUGACGGGUAGCCGGCCUGAGAGGGUGGCCGGCCACAUUGGGACUGAGAUACGGCCCAGACUCCUACGGGAGGCAGCAGUGGGGAAUAUUGCACAAUGGGCGGAAGCCUGAUGCAGCAACGCCGCGUGCGGGAUGACGGCCUUCGGGUUGUAAACCGCUUUCGCCUGUGACGAAGCGUGAGUGACGGUAAAGGGUAAAGAAGCACCGGCUAACUACGUG